rnacentral:rRNA from 1 species
AUUGAACGCUGGCGGCAUGCCUUACACAUGCAAGUCGAACGGCAGCAUGAUCUAGCUUGCUAGAUUGAUGGCGAGUGGCGAACGGGUGAGUAAUACAUCGGAACGUGCCCUGUAGUGGGGGAUAACUAGUCGAAAGAUUAGCUAAUACCGCAUACGACCCGAGGGUGAAAGUGGGGGACCGCAAGGCCCCAUGCUAUAGGAGCGGCCGAUGUCUGAUUAGCUAGUUGGUGAGGUAAAGGCUCACCAAGGCGACGCUCAGUAGCUGGUCUGAGAGGACGAUCAGCCACACUGGGACUGAGACACGGCCCAGACUCCUACGGGAGGCAGCAGUGGGGAAUUUUGGACAAUGGGCGAAAGCCUGAUCCAGCAAUGCCGCGUGUGUGAAGAAGGCCUUCGGGUUGUAAAGCACUUUUGUCCGGAAAGAAAUGGCUCUGGUUAAUACCUGGGGUCGAUGACGGUACCGGAAGAAUAAGGACCGGCUAACUACGUG